rnacentral:rRNA from 1 species
UGGGGAAUAUUGGACAAUGGGCGAAAGCCUGAUCCAGCCAUGCCGCGUGUGUGAAGAAGGUCUUCGGAUUGUAAAGCACUUUAAGUUGGGAGGAAGGGCAUUAACCUAAUACGUUAGUGUUUUGACGUUACCGGCAGAAUAAGCACCGGCUAACUCUGUGCCAGCAGCCGCGGUAAUACAGAGGGUGCAAGCGUUAAUCGGAAUUACUGGGCGUAAAGCGCGCGUAGGUGGUUUGUUAAGUUGGAUGUGAAAGCCCCGGGCUCAACCUGGGAACUGCAUCCAAAACUGGCAAGCUAGAGUACGGUAGAGGGUGGUGGAAUUUCCUGUGUAGCGGUGAAAUGCGUAGAUAUAGGAAGGAACACCAGUGGCGAAGGCGACCACCUGGACUGAUACUGACACUGAGGUGCGAAAGCGUGGGGAGCAAACA